rnacentral:rRNA from 1 species
CCUACGGGGGGCAGCAGUAAGGAAUAUUGGUCAAUGGACGAAAGUCUGAACCAGCCAUCCCGCGUGCAGGAUGAAAGCCCUAUGGGUUGUAAACUGCUUUUAGCAGAGAAGAAAAGCUUUUAUUAAUGAGAGUCUGACGGUAUCUGCAGAAUAAGCACCGGCUAACUCCGUGCCAGCAGCCGCGGUAAUACGGAGGGUGCGGGCAUUAUCGGGAAUUACGGGUGCGUAGGGGGAGGUAGAAGUCAGUGGUGAAAUCUUGUCGCUUAACGGUAAAAUUGCCAAUGAUACUGGUAGUCUUGAGUUGGGUUGAGGUUAGCGGAAUGUGACAUGUAGCGGUGAAAUGCAUAGAUAUGUCAUGGAACACCAAUUGCGAAGGCAGCUAACUGGGCCUUGAUUGACGCUGAGGCACGAAAGCGUGGGUAGCGAACAGGAUUAGAUACCCCGGUAGUC